UACGGGGGGAGCAAGCGUUGUUCGGAUUUACUGGGCGUAAAGGGCGCGUAGGCGGUCAGCACAAGUCAGUUGUGAAAUCUCCGGGCUUAACUCGGAAAGGUCAACUGAUACUGUGCGACUAGAGUGCGGAAGGGGCAACUGGAAUUCUCGGUGUAGCGGUGAAAUGCGUAGAUAUCGAGAGGAACACCUGCGGCGAAGGCGGAUUGCUGGGCCGACACUGACGCUGAUGCGCGAAAGCCAGGGGAGCGAACGGG
rnacentral:rRNA from 1 species